CCUACGGGGGGCUGCAGUCGAGAAUUUUUGGCAAUGGGCGAAAGCCUGACCAAGCGAUGCCGCGUGCGGGAUGAAGGCCUUCGGGUUGUAAACCGCUGUCAGUGGGGAGGAAAGCUUUGUGAAGAGCAGAGCUUGACCUAUCCGCAGAGGAAGUGUGGGCUAAGUUCGUGCCAGCAGCCGCGGUAAGACGAACCACACAAACGUUAUUCGGAAUUACUGGGCUUAAAGGGUGCGUAGGCUGCGCAGUAAGUUGGGUGUGAAAUACCUCGGCUCAACCGAGGAACUGCGCCCAAAACUACUGUGCUUGAGGAAGAUAGAGGUAAGCGGAACUUACGGUGGAGCGGUGAAAUGCGUUGAUAUCGUAAGGAACACCUGUGGCGAAAGCGGCUUACUGGGUCUUUUCUGACGCUGAUGCACGAAAGCUAGGGGAGCAAACGGGAUUAGAUACCCCGGUAGUC
rnacentral:rRNA from 1 species